GAGUUUGAUCCUGGCUCAGAUUGAACGCUGGCGGCAGGCCUAACACAUGCAAGUCGAGCGGUAGAGAGAAGCUUGCUUCUCUUGAGAGCGGCGGACGGGUAAGUAAUGCCUAGGAAUCUGCCUGGUAGUGGGGGGAUAACGCUCGGAAACGGACGCUAAUACCGCAUACGUCCUACGGGAGAAAGCAGGGGACCUUCGGGCCUUGCGCUAUCAGAUGAGCCUAGGUCGGAUUAGCUAGUUGGUGAGGUAAUGGCUCACCAAGGCGACGAUCCGUAACUGGUCUGAGAGGAUGAUCAGUCACACUGGAACUGAGACACGGUCCAGACUCCUACGGGAGGCAGCAGUGGGGAAUAUUGGUACAAUGGGCGAAAGCCUGAUCCAGCCAUGCCGCGUGUGUGAAGAAGGUCUUCGGAUUGU
rnacentral:rRNA from 1 species